CAGCAGCCGCGGUAAUACGUAGGUGGCAAGCGUUAUCCGGAAUUAUUGGGCGUAAAGGGCUCGCAGGCGGUUUCUUAAGUCUGAUGUGAAAGCCCCCGGCUCAACCGGGGAGGGUCAUUGGAAACUGGGAAACUUGAGUGCAGAAGAGGAGAGUGGAAUUCCACGUGUGGCGGUGAAAUGCGUAGAGGUGUGGAGGAACACCAGUGGCGAAGGCGACUCUCUGGUCUGUAACUGACGUUGAGGAGCGAAAGCGUGGGGAGCGAACAGGAUUAGAUACCCCAGUAGUCCCUGUCUCUUAUAU
rnacentral:rRNA from 1 species